rnacentral:rRNA from 1 species
UACAGAGGGUGCAAACGUUGUUCGGAAUUACUGGGCGUAAAGCGUGUGUAGGCGGCCUCGUAGGUCGGAUGUGAAAGCUCUCGGCUCAACCGGGAAAGUGCAUUCGAAACCACAAGGCUUGAGUGUCGGAGAGGAGGGCGGAAUUGUCGGUGUAGAGGUGAAAUUCGUAGAUAUCGACAGGAACACCUGCGGCGAAAGCGGCCCUCUGGACGAACACUGAACGCUGAGACACGAAAAGCG